rnacentral:rRNA from 1 species
UACGUAGGGGGCAAGCGUUGUCCGGAAUCAUUGGGCGUAAAGCGCGUGUAGGCGGCCCGGUAAGUCCGCUGUAAAAGUCCAGGGCUCAACCCUGGAAUGCCGGUGGAUACUGUCGGGCUAGAGUCCGGAAGAGGCGAGUGGAAUUCCUGGUGUAGCGGUGGAAUGCGCAGAUAUCAGGAGGAACACCGAUGGCGAAGGCAGCUCGCUGGGACGGUACUGACGCUGAGGCGCGAAAGCGUGGGGAGCGAACAGG